CCUACGGGUGGCAGCAGUGAGGAAUAUUGGUCAAUGGGCGGAAGCCUGAACCAGCCAAGUAGCGUGCGGGAUGAAGGCCCUACGGGUCGUAAACCGCUUUUGCACGGGGAUAACACCCUCCACUUGUGGAGGUCUGCAGGUACCGUGCGAAUAAGGGCCGGCUAAUUCCGUUCCAGCAGCCGCGGUAAUACGGAAGGCCCGAGCGUUAUCGGGAUUCAUUGGGCUUAACGGGAGCGAAGGGGGGUGUUAAAUGUAGCGGUAAAAUCGCGCGGCUCAACCGCGCCCCGCAGUUGAAACUGGACGACUUGAGUUCACGACAGGCAGGCGGAAUUCGUGGUGGAGCGGUGAAAUGCAGAGAUAUCACGAGGAACCCCGAUUGCGAAGGCAGCCUGCCGGGGUGCGACUGACGCUGAGGCUCGAAGGUGCGGGUAUCAAACAGGAUUAGAUACCCCUGUAGUC
rnacentral:rRNA from 1 species